ACGACAGUUUUUUCCUCUCAUGGAGGGAGGGAAAUCCCUAAGAGGGAAGGCCUGAAGAAGGAGAAUAUCGGGCUGCAUAUGGAGGCCCAUCAGAGAUGAUCGAUCUGCCACUGAGGAGAUCGAGCUGAACUUCAGAUUGUCCGUCUCUGGAGGAACUUAUUGGCGGAGGGUACCUUUGAUGAUGAUCUUCUUUGUUGAUGUCAGAGGUUCGAGGGCUUGAGGCUGUGAAUCUUGGUUUGGCUUUUCAUAAUCAGCUCGGAAAAGCGAAAGAGUUUGUUGUUAGGGCUCUCCGCUGCAAAGGGGUUGCCGUUGCUGAAAGCAGUCCGGAGUCCUCAGCCGUUCCCUGCUUUCUUUUCCUGAUUUUGAUAGGGUCGGCCGGUCACUGGAGAGAGGGGGGAGGACGAAGCAGGGUUCCAAGAACGAGCCCCCAUUUGGAUAUUCUCAUCAGUCUUACAAGAAAAUCGAUUUAAAGUUUGAACAUUUCAUUCGUCCUUUGUCGAAAACGAUCAUGUUCAUGUUAGAAAAUUUUGAAUGCAGGCAUGAAGACGAGAUGAGAGUUGAAAGGCGAAUUAUACGGUAAAUUAUUCAAGAGAAAAUUGCAUUUGAUAAUAUACUUCUCUCUUUUUCAAGAAACUGUGUCAUAUUUGAAGCUGAAGGAACAAACGAGGUUGUUAAACGCAAACUAGGAAACAACAAAUGUACCGUGUAUAGGAGAGUGCUUGGCAUCAGGGGGGAAGCUUUUUCCCGUUGCCCAUUGCAAUUGUAGGUAGCGAAUGAGGAAUCGGGCACCUGCAAUGCAACUGGUUUACAGGUCACAGUGAUAAGCUCACUACGCUUACAAGCGCGUGUGCGCGAUCAGCACAGAUCAUAAUCUCCUGCGAAUUUCACAGGGGAGGAAGAAAUAUACCUCCGAGGAGCAGCAAAAGGAAAGAAAGAAUGCGCGCUUUCUGUAAUCCUUCCC